CUGGACUAUUAAAUUAUAAGUUCCACCGAAAUAUAGCUUCCUUAUUUGUCGACACUAUGGUAUCAGCCAUAUUUAAAAAUAGUAAUGAUGAACCAUAUAUUACACUCGAUAAUGAUGCCGAGAGCGUGCCUGGAGAAAGAUUACCAGAAAUAUAGUAGAUUUUGUGAAGGAUAAAACAGUUUUUGGAAAAUGAUUUUGUAUAAAAUACUUGUUGAGUAUAAGAAUUAUUUUGUAUAUGGCAAAAUUGAUGCACUUUCAAGAAAAUUAUGAAGAUUUAAAACAAGUGUUCCUUCCUUCUUCUUACUUCAGAUGCAAGUGUUGUUGGAACUAACUUUAUCUUUAUAGCACAAAGCUAUUGUAUAAGUUAAAAUAGUAUCCUUCUACUUUCAACUGUAUAACUCACCGUUUUUCUUUAAACGUUGCUUCUUUUAUGCAUAAUCGAAGGCCUGAAAACAGUAGUUCAUGCAAUCAUAACAAGGUAAUAACUGAUUUCAAUUCUUAAUGCAUCCAACGAAGCCAUAAAAAUUUGAAAAACAAGUGUCAUUUGAAAAUGAUUGUUAACGAUAGAGAAAUGGAGAAAGAAGAAAACAACAAAGUUAUAUUUAUUAUUUUAUAUAAGAUUGUAGAAGCGUUUCAAUGUGAUCGUUUAAGACGCAUACUUUUAUGCUCUGAAGAUACGAAAAAUAAAGAUUACAAAUGAGAUCAUACAUAUCACAUAAAAACAAUUCGCGAACAAUUAAAAGAUACAUAAAAAUCUCUGGUAACAAUGAAAAUGGCGGUUAUUUAUAAACAACACUGUAUUAGAGAAUAAUUGUCCUUGUCAAAAAUGUGGACAGUUUAGUCGAGAAAAAUAGAUAUGCGAAUUUUUCCGGUUUUAUGCGCACCUGGAAUUACCUAUAGUCAAUUUCUUCCGUAUUUUUAUAUUAAUUGUCCUGUACGUGUCAUAAAAAAUCUUGAAUCCUAUUAAAUUCGUCAAGGUUUUAGCUAUGAUCGAAUGUAGAAUAUUGUCUCCGAAUUUAAUAAUAUUCUCUUUUCCGCAGUUGGUUGCUUUUAUUUUCUUCUUUGAUCUUUAUAUUAAAAAUAUUC